GAUGAAGGCUGGCGGCGUGCCUAAUACAUGCAAGUCGAGCGAACGGACGAGAAGCUUGCUUCUCUGAUGUUAGCGGCGGACGGGUGAGUAACACGUGGAUAACCUACCUAUAAGACUGGGAUAACUUCGGGAAACCGGAGCUAAUACCGGAUAAUAUUUUGAACCGCAUGGUUCAAAAGUGAAAGACGGUCUUGCUGUCACUUAUAGAUGGAUCCGCGCUGCAUUAGCUAGUUGGUAAGGUAACGGCUUACCAAGGCAACGAUGCAUAGCCGACCUGAGAGGGUGAUCGGCCACACUGGAACUGAGACACGGUCCAGACUCCUACGGGAGGCAGCAGUAGGGAAUCUUCCGCAAUGGGCGAAAGCCUGACGGAGCAACGCCGCGUGAGUGAUGAAGGUCUUCGGAUCGUAAAACUCUGUUAUUAGGGAAGAACAUAUGUGUAAGUAACUGUGCACAUCUUGACGGUACCUAAUCAGAAAGCCACGGCUAACUACGUG
rnacentral:rRNA from 1 species